GAAAUCCUGGAAUGUGCGAUACCCCUUCAGUUUUUGAACCUACAUCGACAUUAAGGGAAUCCAAUAUCGCAGAUGUAAUGUCAGACCUCUCGUUGUGGUAGGCAGCGCAUCCUGUUGAGGACACCCACCUGGCUGCGGCUAGGAGUCAAAAAGAAGGGAACGGCAUUCCGGGACUUCC
rnacentral:other from 1 species